rnacentral:ncRNA from 1 species
AUUAAGACCAUACAAAAGAGAAGUAUGAGGAUGUUCGUCUUGCAGAGAGCUGAUGGUGGUGUAAAUCAGCAGAUGGGUGCUUCAGAAAUGGACUUUUGUGUCGAAAGGCUGAAAUCAGUAGGCUUUUUCCGGGAACUCCCGUUACAGAGAGCGAUCGUUGAUAGACGAUCUAGAAAGAACCAAUUGAGGUGGCACCGUGAGUAAUCGCCCUCAGG